rnacentral:rRNA from 6 species
GGGUUGUGAGGUUAAGCGACUAAGCGUACACGGUGGAUGCCCUGGCAGUCAGAGGCGAUGAAGGGCGUGCUAAUCUGCGAUAAGCGCCGGUAAGGUGAUAUGAACCGUUAUAACCGGCGAUACCCGAAUGGGGAAACCCAGUGUGACUCGUCACACUAUCAUUAACUGAAUCCAUAGGUUAAUGAGGCGAACCGGGGGAACUGAAACAUCUAAGUACCCCGAGGAAAAGAAAUCAACCGAGAUUCCCCCAGUAGCGGCGAGCGAACGGGGAGGAGCCCAGAGCCUGAAUCAGCAUGUGUGUUAGUGGAAGCGUCUGGAAAGGCGCGCGAUACAGGGUGACAGCCCCGUACACAAAAGCGCAUGUGCUGUGAGCUCGAUGAGUAGGGCGGGACACGUGGUAUCCUGUCUGAAUAUGGGGGGACCAUCCUCCAAGGCUAAAUACUCCUGACUGACCGAUAGUGAACCAGUACCGUGAGGGAAAGGCGAAAAGAACCCCGGCGAGGGGAGUGAAAAAGAACCUGAAACCGUGUACGUACAAGCAGUGGGAGCCCCACCACCAAAGCAUUCUCUGGUGUUGAAGGCCCUGCAAAGCAGCAUCGCGGUGGCGGAGCGUCGUUUGCGACGCCCAACACACAAAACAAGCGGUGAGUGCUUUGGGGUGGGGUGACUGCGUACCUUUUGUAUAAUGGGUCAGCGACUUAUAUUCUGUAGCAAGGUUAACCGUAUAGGGGAGCCGUAGGGAAACCGAGUCUUAACCGGGCGUUAAGUUGCAGGGUAUAGACCCGAAACCCGGUGAUCUAGCCAUGGGCAGGUUGAAGGUUGGGUAACACUAACUGGAGGACCGAACCGACUAAUGUUGAAAAAUUAGCGGAUGACUUGUGGCUGGGGGUGAAAGGCCAAUCAAACCGGGAGAUAGCUGGUUCUCCCCGAAAGCUAUUUAGGUAGCGCCUCGUGAAUUCAUCUUCGGGGGUAGAGCACUGUUUCGGCUAGGGGGUCAUCCCGACUUACCAACCCGAUGCAAACUGCGAAUACCGGAGAAUGUUAUCACGGGAGACACACGGCGGGUGCUAACGUCCGUCGUGAAGAGGGAAACAACCCAGACCGCCAGCUAAGGUCCCAAAGUCAUGGUUAAGUGGGAAACGAUGUGGGAAGGCCCAGACAGCCAGGAUGUUGGCUUAGAAGCAGCCAUCAUUUAAAGAAAGCGUAAUAGCUCACUGGUCGAGUCGGCCUGCGCGGAAGAUGUAACGGGGCUAAACCAUGCACCGAAGCUGCGGCAGCGACACUGUGUGUUGUUGGGUAGGGGAGCGUUCUGUAAGCCUGCGAAGGUGGCCUGUGAGGGUUGCUGGAGGUAUCAGAAGUGCGAAUGCUGACAUAAGUAACGAUAAAGCGGGUGAAAAGCCCGCUCGCCGGAAGACCAAGGGUUCCUGUCCAACGUUAAUCGGGGCAGGGUGAGUCGACCCCUAAGGCGAGGCCGAAAGGCGUAGUCGAUGGGAAACAGGUUAAUAUUCCUGUACUUGGUGUUACUGCGAAGGGGGGACGGAGAAGGCUAUGUUGGCCGGGCGACGGUUGUCCCGGUUUAAGCGUGUAGGUGUGUGUUCCAGGUAAAUCCGGUUCACUUUAACACUGAGGCGUGAUGACGAGGCACUACGGUGCUGAAGCAACAAAUGCCCUGCUUCCAGGAAAAGCCUCUAAGCAUCAGGUAACAUCAAAUCGUACCCCAAACCGACACAGGUGGUCAGGUAGAGAAUACCAAGGCGCUUGAGAGAACUCGGGUGAAGGAACUAGGCAAAAUGGUGCCGUAACUUCGGGAGAAGGCACGCUGACAUGUAGGUGAAGUGAUUUACUCAUGGAGCUGAAGUCAGUCGAAGAUACCAGCUGGCUGCAACUGUUUAUUAAAAACACAGCACUGUGCAAACACGAAAGUGGACGUAUACGGUGUGACGCCUGCCCGGUGCCGGAAGGUUAAUUGAUGGGGUCAGCGCAAGCGAAGCUCCUGAUCGAAGCCCCGGUAAACGGCGGCCGUAACUAUAACGGUCCUAAGGUAGCGAAAUUCCUUGUCGGGUAAGUUCCGACCUGCACGAAUGGCGUAAUGAUGGCCAGGCUGUCUCCACCCGAGACUCAGUGAAAUUGAACUCGCUGUGAAGAUGCAGUGUACCCGCGGCAAGACGGAAAGACCCCGUGAACCUUUACUAUAGCUUGACACUGAACAUUGAGCCUUGAUGUGUAGGAUAGGUGGGAGGCUUUGAAGUGUGGACGCCAGUCUGCAUGGAGCCGACCUUGAAAUACCACCCUUUAAUGUUUGAUGUUCUAACGUGGACCCGUGAUCCGGGUUGCGGACAGUGUCUGGUGGGUAGUUUGACUGGGGCGGUCUCCUCCUAAAGAGUAACGGAGGAGCACGAAGGUUGGCUAAUCCUGGUCGGACAUCAGGAGGUUAGUGCAAUGGCAUAAGCCAGCUUGACUGCGAGCGUGACGGCGCGAGCAGGUGCGAAAGCAGGUCAUAGUGAUCCGGUGGUUCUGAAUGGAAGGGCCAUCGCUCAACGGAUAAAAGGUACUCCGGGGAUAACAGGCUGAUACCGCCCAAGAGUUCAUAUCGACGGCGGUGUUUGGCACCUCGAUGUCGGCUCAUCACAUCCUGGGGCUGAAGUAGGUCCCAAGGGUAUGGCUGUUCGCCAUUUAAAGUGGUACGCGAGCUGGGUUUAGAACGUCGUGAGACAGUUCGGUCCCUAUCUGCCGUGGGCGCUGGAGAACUGAGGGGGGCUGCUCCUAGUACGAGAGGACCGGAGUGGACGCAUCACUGGUGUUCGGGUUGUCAUGCCAAUGGCACUGCCCGGUAGCUAAAUGCGGAAGAGAUAAGUGCUGAAAGCAUCUAAGCACGAAACUUGCCCCGAGAUGAGUUCUCCCUGAGACUUUAGGUCUCCUGAAGGAACGUUGAAGACGACGACGUUGAUAGGCCGGGUGUGUAAGCGCAGCGAUGCGUUGAGCUAACCGGUACUAAUGAACCGUGAGGCUUAACCUUACAACGCCGAAG